AUUUUUCCAAAUCUUCAUUCUAAAAGGCGAGAAUCCCUAACGAAUAGAGCCGGCAGGAACAUAACUAGCUGCGACGCAGCAAAACAAUUUCAUUGCCUCGAUCUGGUAAGCACUCUUCUGAGACUAGAGAUUGACUAUCUAUUGGAUUGUCCGCCCCAACCUUUACAGCUCCCUAAAUAUCGAACUCAAUCAUCGAAAGGGCAACUGGAUCAACAUCAG
rnacentral:misc_RNA from 1 species